rnacentral:rRNA from 1 species
AUGAACGCUGGCGGCGUGCCUAAUACAUGCAAGUCGAGCGAACAGAUGAGGAGCUUGCUCCUCUGACGUUAGCGGCGGACGGGUGAGUAACACGUGGAUAACCUACCUAUAAGACUGGGAUAACUUCGGGAAACCGGAGCUAAUACCGGAUAAUAUAUUGAACCGCAUGGUUCAAUAGUGAAAGACGGUUUUGCUGUCACUUAUAGAUGGAUCCGCGCCGCAUUAGCUAGUUGGUAAGGUAACGGCUUACCAAGGCGACGAUGCGUAGCCGACCUGAGAGGGUGAUCGGCCACACUGGAACUGAGACACGGUCCAGACUCCUACGGGAGGCAGCAGUAGGGAAUCUUCCGCAAUGGGCGAAAGCUUGACGGAGCAACGCCGCGUGAGUGAUGAAGGUCUUCGGAUCGUAAAACUCUGUUAUUAGGGAAGAACAAAUGUGUAAGUAACUAUGCACGUCUUGACGGUUCCUAAUCAGAAAGCCACGGCUAACUACGUG